rnacentral:misc_RNA from 1 species
GAAAAAAACAAAAAUCUCAGGACUGGAAUCAUUGUCUACCAUCUUAAAAAUUGAACCAAGACAUGUUAGUUCUAUACUAUUGCUAGAUCCUAAUGAGUGUCUAAGCUGAGAAAACCAAAUCUAUAUUUAGAAUCAGUAUGGCUGCAUGUUCUCAGGAUGUUUCAAAAUUUUUGGCAUAAAGGAGAGAGACCAUUCUGAGAGUUACCCGCUUUAGAAAGUCCCUUCCAUU